AGACAUGCACCGAUACUGAUAGAGGUAGUGGCUGUCAGGUCAAUACUGGGCUUAAAUCAUUUCCACAAUCAGAAAA